rnacentral:rRNA from 1 species
UUCCGGUUGAUCCCGCCGGACCUGACUGCUAUCGGAUUGAUACUAAGCCAUGCUAGUCUUUGUAGUAAUACAAGGCAUACGGCUCAGUAACGCGUAGUCAACCUACCCUAUGGACGGGGAUAAUCUCGGGAAACUGAGCAUAAUACCCGACAGACCACUUCUCCUGGAAUGGUUAGUGGUUAAAAUGAUUCGUCGCCAUAGGAUGGGACUGCGGCCUAUCAGCUUGUUGGUGAGGUAAUGGCCCACCAAGGCGAUUACAGGUACGGGCUCUGAGAGGAGAGGCCCGGAGAUGGGUACUGAGACAAGGACCCAGGCCCUAUGGGGCGCAGCAGGCGAGAAAACUUUGCAAUGUGCGAAAGCACGACAAGGUUAAUCCGAGUGAUUUCUGCUAAAGGAAUCUUUUGUUAGUUCUAAAAAUACUAGUGAAUAAGGGGUGGGCAAGUUCUGGUGUCAGCCGCCGCGGUAAAACCAGCACCUCAAGUGGUCAGGAGGAUUAUUGGGCCUAAAGCAUCCGUAGCCUGCUCUGUAAGUUUGCGGUUAAAUCUAUACGCUCAACGUAUAGGCUGCCGUAAAUACUGUAGAACUAGGGAGUGGGAGAGGUAGACGGUACUCGAUAGGAAGGGGUAAAAUCCUUUGAUCUAUUGAUGACCACCUGUGGCGAAGGCGGUCUACCAGAACACGUUCGACGGUGAGGGAUGAAAGCUGGGGGAGCAAACCGGAUUAGAUACCCGGGUAGUCCCAGCUGUAAACGAUGCAGACUCGAUGAUGCAUUGGCAUAUAGCCAGUGCAGUGUCGCAGGGAAGCCGUUAAGUCUGCCGCCUGGGAAGUACGUACGCAAGUAUGAAACUUAAAGGAAUUGGCGGGGGAGCACCACAAGGGGUGAAGCCUGCGGUUCAAUUGGAGUCAACGCCGGG